rnacentral:rRNA from 1 species
UACGUAGGGUGCAAGCGUUGUCCGGAAUUAUUGGGCGUAAAGAGCUCGUAGGCGGUUUGUCGCGUCGAAUGUGAAAACCCGGGGCUCAACCCCGGGCCUGCAUUCGAUACGGGCAGACUAGAGUUCGGUAGGGGAGUCUGGAAUUCCUGGUGUAGCGGUGAAAUGCGCAGAUAUCAGGAGGAACACUGGUGGCGAAGGCGGCAUCCUGGACCGGCACUGACGCUGAGGAGCGAAAGCCAGGGGAGCAAACGGG